rnacentral:rRNA from 1 species
UACGUAGGGGGCAAGCGUUAUCCGGAUUUACUGGGUGUAAAGGGAGCGUAGACGGCCAGACAAGUCUGAAGUGAAAAUCCAGCGCUUAACGUUGGAAGUGCUUUGGAAACUGCCGGGCUGGAGUGCAGGAGGGGCAGGCGGAAUUCCUAGUGUAGCGGUGAAAUGCGUAGAUAUUAGGAGGAACACCAGUGGCGAAGGCGGCCUGCUGGACUGCAACUGACGUUGAGGCUCGAAAGCGUGGGUAGCAAACAGG